rnacentral:rRNA from 1 species
GUCCACGCUGUAAACGAUGUCAACUAGCUGUUGGUCAUAUUAAAAUGAUUAGUGGCGAAGCAAACGCGAUAAGUUGACCGCCUGGGGAGUACGGUCGCAAGACUAAAACUCAAAGGAAUUGACGGGGGCCCCGCACAAGCGGUGGAGCAUGUGGUUUAAUUCGAUGCAACGCGAAGAACCUUACCUACCCUUGACAUACAGUGAAUUUUGCAGAGAUGCGAAAGUGCCUUCGGGAACACUGAUACAGGUGCUGCAUGGCUGUCGU